rnacentral:lncRNA from 1 species
ACUGAUAUACGAAAAGAGUGGAGGGUAGCUGCAUCUGAACAAAAACAGACAAGAGACCCCCUCCCUUGAAUCUUCUUCUUCUCCGAACCCCCAUCCCCACCAUGGACUGAGGAUACUCAGUCGUAAAAGAAAAUGAGACCCCUCCUCAUGAUCUCGACUUCUUCAUCCACACCUGCGAGCCCACCUUCAAAAUCGCCGGAACACAGACCCUCCAACCACCCCAUCUCAAAACCACAAUCAGCCACCCAUAUUUCCAAAAAAUAAAAAUGAACCAAUUAGAUGUGAAAACUAAGAAAAAGUCUCUGAAAAUCCUGAUUUCCAGGAAGUUUGAGGUCGAAAUUUUCUGCUUGAUUGUUGAGGUUCCGGACCAGUGCGAUUUCAGUCGAGGUCAAUUCGAGGUUAUUUUCAUGAUUUCGAGAUCCAUCUCUUGCUGUUGUUAAUGAGGAUUUGAAGUUAAUUUGAUGUUAUAGAUUGCGGGAAUUCAACCUUCUUCACAUUAUUAUUUAAGUUUAAUUUAGUUAAAAAAAUCAGAAAGAAAACAAAAGAGAUUCAAUCCUGUUUUAACGUUCGUUCGUGGAAAUAUAUUGAGAUGCCGUUUGAGUUUGGAGCUUAGGCUGCUGUUCGUGUCCAGUUGAGUUUACAAUUUGAAUUCCAGUCAAGAUUGUUGGUGUAAUUCCCAUCCGUUCAGUUGUUCCAGCUUCGUUUUUCAGUUCGUGUUUCAACUUAUGCGACUUUCUGAUUUGAAAACAGUGCAUAUGUUUGACUUGUUCACUUGAUUUUCUCCUAUUUUACUGUUUGUGAAAUUAUUGAAUUGUGUUGUUUCUAUGAUGGUCCAAAAAUCAGCGGGAACAAGUUAACUAGCUGAUUUUGAUUUAGAUAAUAUAGAAAUCUACUUGUGCUUUGAUUUGGUGUUCUUAUACAUUCUCACAGCAUGAUCGUUUUGGAAUCAAGUGGUUGUGAUUGUAAAUAUGAGUGAAUCAGUAGGGCAGAGGCUUGGAAUUGGUACAGAAACACAUUGCUUGUUGCUUUCAAGAGUUGGAUUCUAUGAGUUGUUGAACAAAUAUGUGAAUAAUCGAGACAAAAAUUGAUGUUCGUUUGUUAAUGAUUGAGAUUAUAGUGUUGGCAUUUCUAUUUCCUUAUUUAGUCAUAAGAAUUAAUAGGUUUUAAAAAUCUAAGUGGCUGCGGCUUUGAAACGCAAUAGGGGCUACAUUUACAAUGGGAUAAAAUGGCUAAAAUCAUUUUUCUGUAUUAACAGGCCGUAUUUUUCAUCUGAUUGUUGGAAAUGAGAGUUGUAGGAAUUAAGUUU